rnacentral:lncRNA from 10 species
UGAGUUCACUUUCUGCUUCAGUAAAAUGUGCAGUAUAUAAAUGUUGGCUCAUAGGGUUGUUGUAAUGGGAAUAAUAACACUUAUCUUAAAAGGUUUUGUAAGAGGCGUGAGCCACCAUGCUCAGCCUCUCUCAGAUAUUCCUGUCUGUCUUUCUCAGCUCCUCCAUGUCUUUCCUCAAAUAUUAUUUUCUAAAUAAGAUUUUCUUUUGCCUUCUUAUUUAGAACUGAAUGUUCCCAACUCCAACCCCUAGCACUCUUUAAUCUCCUUUCCAGCUUUACUUUUCUUUAUUUUUCAUGGCCCUAAUUAUCUCUCAACAUACUCUAUUUUUCUUAUUUUGUUGAUUCUCUCUCUUCUCCCACAAGAAUCAAAACUAUCUCACAGCCAAAAUAUCACCUGGAUCAUAGCAGGCACUCAAGCACCCCGUAAAUGAUUGUGACAUAAAUGAAGUUGACAGAAUUACCUUUAGCAACUAUGACACAGAUAUAGGAACUUUCACUAAGCUCCUUGAGGGCAGAGCUGGAUCUUGCAUGGCCUAUGAAAAUGUCUUUUUACCCCCAGCUCAGGACUAAAAAUGGAGCAGGCACUAAACAUGUACUUAUGGCAUUUUUUAAUGUUUUUAUUGUAGUAAAAUAUGCAUAACACAAAAUUUACCAUCUUAACCAUUUUUAAGCAUACAGUUCAGUGACAUUCACAUUAUUGUAUAACUAUCACCACUACCUAUCAUCUCCAGAACUUUUCAUCUUCCCAGGCUGAAAUUUUGGACCCAUUAAGCACUAACUCCCCAUUCCCUACUCUCCUCAGCCCCUGACAGCCACUAUUCUACUUUCUGUCUUUAUGAAUUUGACUACUCUAGGUACCCUCACAUAAGUAGAUCAUACAAUAUGUGUCCUUUUGUGACUGGCUUAUUUCAGUUAGCACAAUGUCUUCAAGGUCCAUCCAUGUUGUAGCGUGUUGUCAGAAGUGCCUUUCUUUUUAAGGCUGAAUAAUAUUCUAUUGGAUGUAUAUAUCACAAUUUCUUUAUCCAUUUAUCCAUGAAUGGACACUUGGGAUGCUUCCACCUUUUGGCUAUUGUUAAUAAUGCUGCUAUGAAGAUGCAAGUACAAAUAUCUAUUCCAGUCCCUGCUUUCAUUUCUUUUGGGUAAAUUCCUAGAAGUGAAAUUUCAGGAUCAUAUGGUAAUUAUAUGUUUAAUUUUUUGAAGAAUUUUCAUAUUGUUUUCAAUAGCAACUGUGCCAUUCAGCAUUCCUAUCAGCAAUACACAAUGAUUCCAAUUUCUCCAUAUUCUCAUCAUGCAUUUUUUUGUGCUGUGAUUUGUUUGUUUGUUUGUUUUUUUAUAAUAGCCAUCCUAAUGGAAAUGAAAUGAUGUCUUACUGUGGUUUUGACUUGCAUUCACCUAAUGAUCAGUGAUGUUAAACAUCUUUUC